AGCCAUGUAAUAAGCACAAAGCGAAUUAUUCUUUCGCCUUUUACUAAAGAAUAUCGUGUGCUUGUUACUGUAAAAUGGCAUAUACUUAUUUUUGAAGGGCUGAUCUCAUCAGAGCA